GAGAUUAACUAUCGGUCCGCGUCCUCCGGGAUGUGUGUACUGUUUUUGUUUAAUCUCAUCCUUGUAGUGAUUGUAUCUGGCAUUUAGUUGUCGGGUGCAGGAGCUGCAUCGUUUACUGUUAAAAAAUUAGAGUGUUUAAAGCAGGCUUAUGCCUUGAAUAGAUUAGCAUGGAAUGAUAUUAUAGGACUUUGGUACUAUUUUAUUGGUUUGCAUAUCAAAGUA
rnacentral:rRNA from 1 species